GGAUCCGAUCAUACCAGCACUAAAGCACCGGAUCCCAUCAGAACUCUGAAGUUAAGCGUGCUUGGGCGAGAGUAGUACUAGGUUGGGUGACCUCCUGGGAAGUCCUCGUGUUGCAUUCC
rnacentral:rRNA from 1 species